GGGGUUGUGGCUCAGCGGUAGAGCGCUUGCCUAGCAUGUGCAGGAGGCUGGGUUCAUUCCUCAGCACCA
rnacentral:tRNA from 1 species